UACGGAGGGUGCAAGCGUUGUCCGGAUUUAUUGGGUUUAAAGGGUGCGUAGGCGGCCCGUUAAGUCAGCGGUGAAAUCCCGGGGCUCAACCCCGGAACUGCCGUUGAUACUGGCGGGCUUGAGUUCGGUCGAGGCGGGCGGAACUGGCGGUGUAGCGGUGAAAUGCUUAGAUACCGCCAAGAACCCCGAUUGCGUAGGAAGCUCGCUUGGCCGAAACUGACGCUGAGGCACGAAAGCGUGGGGAGCGAACAGG
rnacentral:rRNA from 1 species